UACGAAGGGGGCUAGCGUUGCUCGGAAUCACUGGGCGUAAAGCGCACGUAGGCGGAUCUUUAAGUCAGGGGUGAAAUCCUGGAGCUCAACUCCAGAACUGCCUUUGAUACUGAGGAUCUUGAGUCCGGGAGAGGUGAGUGGAACUCCGAGUGUAGAGGUGAAAUUCGUAGAUAUUCGCAAGAACACCAGUGGCGAAGGCGGCUCACUGGCCCGAUACUGACGCUGAGGCACGAAAGCGUGGGGAGCAAACAGG
rnacentral:rRNA from 1 species